rnacentral:rRNA from 1 species
UACGUAGGGUGCGAGCGUUAAUCGGAAUUACUGGGCGUAAAGCGUGCGCAGGCGGUUACAUAAGACAGAUGUGAAAUCCCCGGGCUCAACCUGGGAACUGCGUUUGUGACUGUGUGACUGGAGUACGGCAGAGGGGGGUGGAAUUCCUGGUGUAGCAGUGAAAUGCGUAGAUAUCAGGAGGAACAUCGAUGGCGAAGGCAGCCCCCUGGGCCUGUACUGACGCUCAUGCACGAAAGCGUGGGGAGCAAACAGG